UCGGAUAUGGUGUAACGGCUAACAUUGCCGCCUCUCAUACCUCAACGCGGCAGCUCGGGGUUCGAUUCCCCGUAUCCGAG